rnacentral:piRNA from 1 species
UCGCUAUGGUUACCGGGAUAUGGCUUC